GGUCGAAGACUUGCAUUGGCCCUGCAUUGGCCGUGCAUUGCAUCACGGUGCAAGUCACAUCAUCACAGUUAAACAUCACGACCAAUAAUCAUCACAUAAAACCAUGCUGACAUAAUUGAAAGUCAAGGCCCUUGGGAAGCAGAGGCAAGCUUUUGGUACUCUGAAAAUACAAUCCCUGGUUAAACCCUAGUUGCAACAUGAUGACCCUAGGGAGUAGUAGACCUUAUUAUUCCCUUACAUUUUGAGG